UGGGGAAUUUUGCACAAUGGGGGAAACCCUGAUGCAGCGACGCCGCGUGAUUUAGAAGGCCUUCGGGUUGUAAAAAUCUUUUGUAUGGGAAGAAAAUGACAGUACCAUACGAAUAAGGACCGGCUAAUUACGUGCCAGCAGCCGCGGUAAUACGUAAGGUCCGAGCGUUGUCCGGAAUCAUUGGGCGUAAAGGGUUCGCAGGCGGAAAUGCAAGUCAGGUGUAAAAGGCAGUAGCUUAACUACUGUAAGCAUUUGAAACUGCAUAUCUUGAGAAGAGUAGAGGUAAGUGGAAUUUUUAGUGUAGCGGUGAAAUGCGUAGAUAUUAAAAAGAAUACCGGUGGCGAAGGCGACUUACUGGGCUCAUUCUGACGCUGAGGAACGAAAGCGUGGGUAGCAAACAGG
rnacentral:rRNA from 1 species